CACGCCGUAAACGAUCAAUACUAGGUGUGCGGGGACUGACCCCCUGCGUGCCGGAGUUAACACAAUAAGUAUUGCACCUGGGGAGUACGAUCGCAAGGUUGAAACUCAAAGGAAUUGACGGGGGCCCGCACAAGCGGUGGAUUAUGUGGUUUAAUUCGAAGCAACGCGAAGAACCUUACCAGGUCUUGACAUCCCGAUGACCCCUCUAGAGAUAGAGUUUUCCCUUCGGGGACAUUGGUGACAGGUGG
rnacentral:rRNA from 1 species